CCUGUCUCUAUGUGUAAAAAUAAAUGGCUGCAGUAAUACUGACAUUGUACUAAGGUAGCAUAAUCAUUAGUUUUUUAAUUGGGGACUGGAAUGAAGGGUAUUAACCUCACAGAUAGUUUUAUAAAAAUUUUUUGAAUUAAAAUUAAAAGUAAGAAUGCUUUUAUCAAAUCCUGGGACGAGAAGACCCUAGAAGCUUAAAAUUUUAAAAAAAUUUUUGGUUGGGGCGAUUUUAGGAAGAAAAAGAUCUUUUUAAUGAAAUUUAAGGGAUUUAGUUACUCUAGGGAUAACAGCGAUAUUUAGUUUGAGAGUUCUUAUUUUGAAUUAAAUUUGCGACCUCGAUGCUGAAUUAAAUAUAUAUGUUAGGUGGAGGAGCUUAAU
rnacentral:rRNA from 1 species